rnacentral:lncRNA from 1 species
GAAAAAGGAAAAGUUGACCAAAAAAAAAAAAAAAUUAUUAUUAUUUAUUUUUAUUUAUGUAAUUUUAUUGAUUAUAUUAUUUACUUAAACAUAGUUUUUGUUAAUUGGGUUUUAUUUUUUUAAAUAUAGCUCAAUUAUGUUUGUUUUUACACAAAGCUUAUAUAUUAAUCUAAUUUACUUUUAUUAGUAUAUUAUUAAUUAUUUAUUGAAGGCAAAUAUCAUUUUCAUAAUAAUUGAUGAAUAUGAAUUUUUUUUUAUAUAAAUUUAUACUAUUUAUUACUUGCAUUGCAAGUUUCCAAUGUAUUAAAAGGAGUAAACCGGGAUUACUUAAAGCUGAUAAUGAAGGAUUAAAUAAUAAAUCAAAGAAAACGAAAAAACUAAUAACAUUUGAGAAUAGAGACUUAUUUAUAAAACAUGUUAAUCCUAAUUGUGAAAAACAUUUGUCAAUUGAGAUGUAUUUUAAAAGUACCUGCCCGUAUUGUACGAAAGUACUUACAAUAUUAAAUCGCCUCAAUAAAUAUGUUGAAUUAAUUUAUAUUAGUGAAAUUAAAAAAGAUGGAGAUAAAAAAAAAACGGAAGUGCAAAAGCCUAUUACUGUUGUUUUAAAAAAUAUAACAGAAUCAGAUUGUAAUGAAAGAACUGAAUACUAUUAUGAACUGAGGAAUAGAGCAGAAAAAGUCCAAGUCCCCGCAAUAUCGCUUGGGGAUUCUAUAUUAUAUGAAUCAGACGAAAUAUUAUUUUUCUUUAAACAUAUAAUUGUAGAAUAUAGAAAAAAAAUUAAAAAAUAUAGAGAGAAAACCGAUGGAGAGCAAAUAGAUGGAGAGCAAAUAGAUGGAGAGCAAAUAGAUGGAGAGCAAAUAGAUGGAGAGCAAAUAGAUGGAGAGAAAAUAGAUGGAGAGAAAAUAGAUGGGGAGAAAAUAGAUGGAGAGAAAAUAGAUGGAGAGAAAAUAGAUGGGGAGAAAAUAGAUGGAGAGAAAAUAGAUGGGGAGAAAACAGAUGGGGAGAAAAUAUAUGGAGAGAAAAUAGAUGGGGAGAAAAUAGAUGGAGAGAAAAUAGAUGGAGAGAAGAAAGAUGAACAUGAAAAAAAAGAGCAUAAAAAAGAUGAAGAUAAAAAAGAUGAACAUAAAAAAAAUAAUGAAAAUAUAAAAAGUAACGAAAAAAUAAAAAAUAAUAAAGAUGUAAAUAAUAAUGAAGAUAUACAAAAUAAUAAAGAAUAAAAAUUGACGUAUUAAGGGCAAUUUUAUGAAAAAAAAAAAAAAAAAUAUAUAAAAAUUAUAAAAAUAUAAACAUAUAAAGGAUUAAAAAUAUAAAUAGCAUAUAAAUAUUUAAGAUAAUUUUAGUCAAGUAUAAAAUUAAAUAAAUAAAUAAGUAAAUAAAUAAAUAAAUAAACA